rnacentral:rRNA from 1 species
ACGCUGGCGGCGUGCCUAAUACAUGCAAGUAGAACGCUGAAGGAGGAGCUUGCUCUUCUGGAUGAGUUGCGAACGGGUGAGUAACGCGUAGGUAACCUGCCUGGUAGCGGGGGAUAACUAUUGGAAAUGAUAGCUAAUACCGCAUAAUAGUAGAUGUUGCAUGACAUUUACUUAAAAGGCGCAAUUGCAUCACUACCAGAUGGACCUGCGUUGUAUUAGCUAGUUGGUGGGGUAACGGCUCACCAAGGCGACGAUACAUAGCCGACCUGAGAGGGUGAUCGGCCACACUGGGACUGAGACACGGCCCAGACUCCUACGGGAGGCAGCAGUAGGGAAUCUUCGGCAAUGGACGGAAGUCUGACCGAGCAACGCCGCGUGAGUGAAGAAGGUUUUCGGAUCGUAAAGCUCUGUUGUAAGAGAAGAACGAGUGUGAGAGUGGAAAGUUCACACUGUGACGGUAUCUUACCAGAAAGGGACGGCUAACUACGUGCCAGCAGCCGCGGUAAUACGUAGGUCCCGAGCGUUGUCCGGAUUUAUUGGGCGUAAAGCGAGCGCAGGCGGUUAGAUAAGUCUGAAGUUAAAGGCUGUGGCUUAACCAUAGUACGCUUUGGAAACUGUUUAACUUGAGUGCAAGAGGGGAGAGUGGAAUUCCAUGUGUAGCGGUGAAAUGCGUAGAUAUAUGGAGGAACACCGGUGGCGAAAGCGGCUCUCUGGCUUGUAACUGACGCUGAGGCUCGAAAGCGUGGGGGGCAAACAGGAUUAGAUACCCUGGUAGUCCACGCCGUAAACGAUGAGUGCUAGGUGUUAGACCCUUUCCGGGGUUUAGUGCCGCAGCUAACGCAUUAAGCACUCCGCCUGGGGAGUACGACCGCAAGGUUGAAACUCAAAGGAAUUGACGGGGGCCCGCACAAGCGG